UUCCAGAUCCAAGUAACUAUCAACAAUUCAGAAGAGAAAAAGAUAACAAUAAACAAAGAUGAUACAAUAUAAGAAUUAUCAUAUCCAACUCUAUAUGCCAAUGAUCACAUUUUCUAAAAUCUAAAGUAAUUAUCAAGCCAAUUUGGAACUACAAAGCACAAUGAAAUACGGCUUUCAUAGUUCUGAUGUACUUCACUCAUGUUUUUAGCUGAUCACAGAGCAGCUAGGCUUAUUAUAGGAUUGUAUGGUUUUUCUUUGAAUAUGAAGUUAAAGAACUUUACAAGCCUGGACUGCUUUACCAUUUGGUGGUGAAAAGUUUUACGUAGAUGUGAAUGUGAUGAAUUCCCUCUUAGGUGUCAAUGUCAUCCAAGGCAUGAGCUUAGGGAUCUUGGUCAUUCCAUCUUUCCAUGCAUGAGUGUUUUCUGUUACCUAGAAUUUCAGUUUUUUUUUUUUUUCUGUUAGAAAUCUAGUGAUCAUACUUGCCCUUACCGAUCAGAUACUAGCUCAUGCUCUUAUCCUAACCUGCUUAACUGAAGCCAGACCUGAAUCCCUCUAAAUUGAGAUAGUUUAAUCUAUGUUAAGGGUUUUAUGCAAUGAGGGGGGCUGAUAACCAUUAAGCCUAGUAAGCCUCCUAAUGAAACCGCCAAAGGAAGGGGGAAUGCACUAGUCUCCUUUUUUUUUCUGUCAAAUAAUUUUCAGAAAAUGCAUGAUAGAUGCAUAAUCUAGAAUAGGAAAAAAUCAUUCUUAAUGGCUUG
rnacentral:misc_RNA from 1 species